GACGAACGCUGGCGGCGUGCUUAACACAUGCAAGUCGAACGGAAAGGCGCGGCUUUUGUGGGGUGCUCGAGUGGCGAACGGGUGAGUAACACGCGAGGAACCUGCCCUUGACUGUGUGAUAACUUCAGGAAACUGGGGCGAAUACCGGGGAUAAUCUCCUGCUGCAUGGGGGUGGUUGGAAAGUUUCGGCGGUGCGGGCUGGUCUCGAGGCUUAUCAGCUGGUUUGUGUGGUAGUGGCUGACCAGGGCUUUGACGGGUAGCCGGCCUGGGAGGGUUGCCGGCCACCUGGGGCCUGAGAGAGGGACCAGACUCGUACGGGCGGCAGCGGUGGAGAACAUUGCACAAUGGGGCGACGCCUGAUGUAGCAACGCCCCGUGCGGGAUGCCGGCCUUCGGGUUGUAAACAGCUUUCGCAUGUGACGAAGCGUGCGUGACGGUAAUGGGUAAAGAAGCCCCGGCUAACUACGUG
rnacentral:rRNA from 1 species